rnacentral:rRNA from 1 species
UACUCUUGGUGGUGGAUCACUCGGCUCGUGCGUUGAUGAAGGAUACAGCUAGCUGCAAGAACUAAUUUGAAUUGCAGAACACAUUGAUCAUUUACAUUUCAAACACACCUUGUGGCCCCGGAUCUUUCCCGGGCCAUGCUCAUGAUACGCAGCU